GUCUCGCUGGGUCUAUACUAGUAGUGCAGUUUCAAGUCUGCCUGCAGCCGAGCCGUGCCGUGCCGUGCCGUGCCGUGCCGUGCGGAGCAGGGGCGGGAUCUGGAGCGCAGACAGAUGAUGAUGAUGAUGAUGAUGAUGAUGAUGAUGAUGAUGAUGAUGAUGAUGAUGAUGAUGAUGAUGAUGCUUGCUGGCUCUGAAGACAAUCGUGGCUGCUGAAUGAAGAGGAGGUGCAGCGGAAAAGCGCUGUCCGAGGUGCUGCUGGAGACAAGCUCCAGUCACGCACAAGCGCGCGCGCGCACACACACAUACACGCACAUCUCGCCGCUCCAGCCGCAGACGACACGCAUGAACUGAAUGCACCUCUCUCCCCGCCCGCCGGCCUGAGUAAAUGGGACCGCACGUCGUCCGAGCUUUGGAGACAUGGAGAGAUCGUUCCUGCUCGUCCUCGGCUGCCUCGGCGUCUCUCGCGUCACGGCGGAUAGCUUGUCGCCUCCCGUCAAUGUGACCAUCAAAGAGGUGAAAGCGAACUCUGCCGUGGUGUCAUGGGACAUCCCAGAGGGAGACCUCGUCAUCGGCUUUGCCAUCACCCAGCAGAAGAAAGACGUGCGCAUGCUGCGGUUCAUCCAGGAAGUCAACACCACCACACGCUCCUGCACAUUAUGGGACUUGGAGGAGGAGACGGACUACAUCGUGCACGUUCAGUCUAUCAGCAUGUCCGGGACGAGCCCGCUGAGCGAGCCGCUGCGCUUCCGAACCCCAAAGGAAACCGAGACCCAGGCCUCUAAGAGCAAAGACGAAGUGACAAUGGAGGAAGUAGGCCAGACGACCCAGCUGAGAGCAGGGGAGCUCAUUAUCAUUGUGGUGGUACUUAUUAUGUGGGCAGGCGUGAUUGCCCUCUUCUGUCGCCAGUAUGACAUAAUCAAAGACAACGAGCCCAACAACAACAAGGAUAAAGCCAAAAACUCCUCAGAGUGCAGCACUCCUGAGCACCCGACAGGGGGGCUGUUGCGCAGUAAGGUAUAACCCACCCACCCCUUCUUCCCCUCCUCUUCUCCUUUGGGUGCCUCUCCCCGUUCAGCGACGCUGGCCAGCAGUUUCCUAAKAACAACAACCACCACCGGAUGCCAUCUGUCAAAAUCAUUGAGGUGUGAUCGUCUCCUCUUCCCCCAAAAGACUUCAACGUGAGCCCGUUUUAGGCCCGUCAUCCACUUGGAGGGAUGAUGCUGGGACUUCAGGCCUCCUGAUGGAGCCUGGUCCCUCUUUAACACGAGUCAUGGUGCUGACGUGAGGCUGCACGGGUCGAGCUGGGCCAGCUYGAGCCUCUCUGAGGUUAGCAGUGGAGAGACCGCAGGGGGAGUUCUGCAGCUGCUCUGUGCUCAGUGACAGAACCGUGGGGGUAGCAGUUAUCAGGACUGCUSUGGAGACGCUGCAGAUAAACCAAACCCCACAGGGACCAAAACUGAUCAGCAGACCCUCUUUCCUAUCCUGGCUCUUUCAGACCAUCACCAACCAACACACACACGGAUCUUUAUUCUUUCUGGGUGAUACAGAAAUAUUUAAAUAGUCCUUUUUACCUUUUUUUUAUUAACUUGUGUUGUGUAUUUUUUAGUCAUUAGCAAGAUGUAGUUUAUCUUCAAAUUGAACAACAUGCCACCCGUGAGCUUACACUUCAUAUAUCAGUUUUUUAAGUACCUUUUUACAGGGACAGUAUUUGCUGCUCCAUUCAGGAAAUCCACAGUCAUUUCUGAGAUUCACUGUAACAUCGGAGCAACUUUAGARGGAUUAGCCAAACUCACGCACCAAAUUUCUUUGAGACAUAGUCUGAAUUUCUCAUCUUAUUUUGUACUUUUAUUAUAGACUUCUUAAAUAUAACAUUCCACACCCAGAAUGAGCCUUUAGUAUCUCCUGGUGUCUUUCUUUUUGAGGGUGAUGGGUUUCACGGUAUUCUCAAGAGGAGCUGAACUCCCUUAAUGGAGUCCAUUCAUCUAAUUAAUUAACCAUAAAYGGGGCUGGACUCGACGGACUGCUGGAGACGUGCCUCUGCAGAGACGCUGAGGAAGAUCCCUGAAAAAAAAAAAAACAGCAAUAACGGCCCUCCGUGGAAGCAAAGGGGAGCCAAGAUUCAAACUCUGCAUCCUCCGAAACAAGCUCUGAGCAUGCGAACGGUGAACACGCUGCACAUCCAGAGCGCUGGAACAAACCUAGGGCAACCUUUUCAGAUAAUCCCAAAAGAAAACCUUUCAGCGCUGUUGUAAAAAAMCUCUGGCUUCUGUCGGCAAAGCAUGACAAAGAAAACCUUGCAACCCUGAGACUUCUUUACGACAUCUCGAGCGUAUGUCGAGACAGAAGGGCUUCUAUUCAGACUUUUUAAAAACUCGAAAUGUGUUCAAAUUCCAUGUUUAUGAGGAUAAAUAUCGAGGUGAGGUGGGUUUAACGGAUGCAUUAAACUCAGUAAGGCUGCCUUAAAAAUACUUGUACCUUAUGAUUUAUCACUUUGAACGUAAGGCCCUGUAUCUCAUAUCUGUGGCAUAUUAUUUACUCAGUAUUUAAAUGAGUGUGUGUCUGUAUCGUAAAGAGAUCUAUUACAAAAUGAUGCUGUGUUUAGAUGAAAGGGCAGGCGUUUGAUGUGUAAAUACAUUUUAAAUGUCAUUCCUUGGUGUCGGCUUAGGGAGCCUUUAAGAGAAUAAGACUGAAACGGAUUUGCCGUUUUUUAAUAUAAGAAGUUAUUGAAGCUCACGAUUAUUCCUUUUGAUUUAAAAGCUGUUUUUUGAAAAGCUUUUGGAAAACAUCCCUCUACUCCUGUACUUUUAUUAAAGUCGGUUGCAGUGCGGUUUAUGUUCAGGAUAAGGAUGGGGUUUUUUUAUUAGAAGGAAUAACUAACAGAGGAAAAAGGGUUUUGUGAAUGAGUAAUGAUGGUUGUAGAGGAGGGAAGAGAGGAUUUUUAUCACUAUUUCCCGCUUCUCGCUCCCGUAUUUUUCUUUUAAUAAAGACAGGGAGACGUUCGAGCCCGUGCUCCUCCAAUCAGCAGCGACUGAUAGAGUAAAAAGGCCACAUUUAAAGCCAGGGCUGGUGGAACUCAUUUGGGGCCCCACCGACUGAUUAACGCUUAUUUAGCUUUUGCCAGGACAAACUUGUCGGCGCGGUGCUCUGCUGCAGCGUGAUCAGCACUUUGCAGAAAACUUAACAGAACUCAAGGUUAAAGCCAUUUCUCCCCAGGAACACUGCUCCCACAAGGAGGCUCUCUAAUCAAUAGACAUCCAUCCACGYACUAACAGUUAUUCAUGGGUGUUUCUGUUUGAAGUUUGCCAACAACAUAGAUCACAAUGGCACCCGCUUGGAAGUACCUUUUUUUUUUGGUUUACAUUCCUCCUGAACUGCCUUGGUUGUUUAAAUGAGUAGAACUUCUACUGGAAACGUUUGAAACUGUGUAUCAUCAUCUUCUGAUGAUUUGCAAACUCCUUUUGCGCCACUAUUGUAAAUACUGUAAUCCAAAUUAUUUGGAUACUUCACAGUCCUCACUACCAUUUCACAGACAGGUGAGGCUCUUCGUGUUCAUUUUUAGAGUCAUUUUAUUUCCUGCUUAUUUUAGGAAGCCAUUCCAAGUUCUCAAACUUUUAACUGGUAAGCCUAAACGUUUGCAGCUUCCCAACAUAAUUUCCAUCGUCAUCAGAUUGGGGAAAAUCUCUUUUCUUUCAACUCCUUGCCUGUGUUAUUUAUUCAGCUUGGCUUCAUGUCAUCUAUAACACCUCAUACUGUGAUGUUCCUUUAGUUUUAGGACUGAUUAUUAAAACAAGACAAAUGGUAAGGUCUAAAAUGUUUUACAUCAACUAAUUUCUAGACAUAAUGAAAUUCUAUUAGUCCAAGAUUGAUUAGACAAUACAGCCCAUAAACAUCUCCCAAAUAAGCAAGUUUAAUUGCUUCAAGAUUUUGCUUUUGAUUUCAGGUUUUGUUAGAUAUUAAUAGAUUUCUUAUAAAAUGUAUCAGUUAAGCAUCUGAAGUAGAAUUUCUUGUCUUUUUGCUUCAAGUCACUUGAAAUAGUUUAUUGAUGUUGAUUAGAAGUCAGUUGAGUGUGUGAACUAAAAGUAGCUGGGCUUCCUUUUUUGUUAUUAAAAGUGACAGAAAAACUGAAAGAACUGUUGUUUGGAAGUUUAAUCGACAUUCUCAUCAUACUCUAAUGGCUCAGCAGGUCAUUCAUAGAUUGAUUAAAUGAUGAACUGGUUUCUGCAUCUCAUUACUUUCAGUUCAGCUGACACGAGACUGCGGAACAUUUUAUAUGAUAUAAUUCUAUUUACAGGGGUCUUGCAUAACGUGUGAUUUAGUCAAAUAUAAUUUUGUUACCUGCACCCGUUUUAGACACAAAAAAGAAAGUCUAUAUGACAUUUAACGCAUUGCUGGUUUGUGGAAAACUGCUUUGUAAAACAAUAUAUAUAAUAAUCUGCCACGUUAGAAGUUUCAGCUUUUAUCCAAAACAUUUUUUUUCCAUUUUUUGUUACCUUCAAUACGGUGAUUUUUCAGUUUAAUUCAACAAAAUGUUGAUUUUCACUUCCAUUUCAUAUUAAGGGCCAUAAUUUGCUCAUUUCAACUGAAAAUGCUUGUUAAAACAGCCAGCCAGUACUACCUGAUGCUCUGAAUUAAAACAUGGAAUUAAAUUAUAUAGGUGCGUUCUCUUUAAAACAUAA